rnacentral:rRNA from 1 species
AGGAAUAUUGGUCAAUGGACGCAAGUCUGAACCAGCCAUGCCGCGUGCAGGAAGACGGCUCUAUGAGUUGUAAACUGCUUUUGUACGAGAGUAAACGCUCUUACGUGUAAGAGCCUGAAAGUAUCGUACGAAUAAGGAUCGGCUAACUCCGUGCCAGCAGCCGCGGUAAUACGGAGGAUCCAAGCGUUAUCCGGAUUUAUUGGGUUUAAAGGGUGCGUAGGCGGUUUGAUAAGUUAGAGGUGAAAUACCGGUGCUUAACACCGGAACUGCCUCUAAUACUGUUGAACUAGAGAGUAGUUGCGGUAGGCGGAAUGUAUGGUGUAGCGGUGAAAUGCUUAGAGAUCAUACAGAACACCGAUUGCGAAGGCAGCUUACCAAACUAUAUCUGACGUUGAGGCACGAAAGCGUGGGGAGCAAACAGGAUUAGAUACCCUGGUAGUCCACGCAGUAAACGAUGAUAACUCGCUGUCGGCGAUACACAGUCGGCGGCUAAGCGAAAGCGAUAAGUUAUCCACCUGGGGAGUACGUUCGCAAGAAUGAAACUCAAAGGAAUUGACGGGGGCCCGCACAAGCGGAGGAACAUGUGGUUUAAUUCGAUGAUACGCGAGGAACCUUACCCGGGCUUGAAAGUUACUGACGAUUCUGGAAACAGGAUUUCCCUUCGGGGCAGGAAACUAGGUGCUGCAUGGUUGUCGUCAGCUCGUGCCGUGAGGUGUCGGGUUAAGUCCCAUAACGAGCGCAACCCCUACCGUUAGUUGCCAUCAGGUCAAGCUGGGCACUCUGGCGGGACUGCCGGUGUAAGCCGAGAGGAAGGUGGGGAUGACGUCAAAUCAGCACGGCCCUUACGUCCGGGGCUACACACGUGUUACAAUGGUAGGUACAGAGGGCAGCUACCCAGUGAUGGGAUGCGAAUCUCGAAAGCCUAUCUCAGUUCGGAUCGGAGGCUGAAACCCGCCUCCGUGAAGUUGGAUUCGCUAGUAAUCGCGCAUCAGCCAUGGCGCGGUGAAUACGUUCCCG